UCUCAAAACUAAAUUGCUUAGACAGUACUGCAGCUUGUUUAAACUGAAGUUAAGAAAAUUUACCCCUUUGAUUAAGCUAGCACAGCUCCACUUAGAUAUGCCCAUCUUUAAGGGGAAUAUUUUGGCAAAGAGACUGUGCCCUUUCAAUUAAGUUUUAAAGAGGCUUGGAAGGAGAAUGGAUAGUAAAUGUGCCAGAGAACAUUUAAUACUGUUUCCAAGUACAUGUUUUCCCAAUUCUUCUUAAAGCUUAGAUUUUUAUAAGAGUUUUCUGAGGUACUUCAUCUAAACAUUUUAAUUUUAGCCAACAAGACUAGUUCAGACACCAUCAUC